ACGAACGCUGGCGGCAUGCCUAACACAUGCAAGUCGAACGAGACCUUCGGGUCUAGUGGCGCCCGGGUGCGUAACGCGUGGGAACCUGCCCUUAGGUUCGGAAUAACUCCCCGAAAGGGGUGCUAAUACCGGAUAAUGUCUUCGGACCAAAGAUUUAUCGCCUUUGGAUGGGCCCGCGUUGGAUUAGCUAGUUGGUAGGGUAAAAGCCUACCAAGGCGACGAUCCAUAGCUGGUCUGAGAGGAUGAUCAGCCACACUGGGACUGAGACACGGCCCAGACUCCUACGGGAGGCAGAAGUGGGGAAUAUUGGACAAUGGGCGAAAGCCUGAUCCAGCAAUGCCGCGUGAGUGAUGAAGGCCUUAGGGUUGUAAAGCUCUUUUACCCGGGAUGAUAAUGACAGUACCGGGAGAAUAAGCUCCGGCUAACUCCGUG
rnacentral:rRNA from 1 species